UACAGAGGGUGCAAGCGUUAAUCGGAAUUACUGGGCGUAAAGCGUGCGUAGUCGGUUAUCUAAGUCGGGUGUGAAAUCCCCGGGCUCAACCUGGGAAUUGCAUUCGAUACUGGAUAGCUAGAGUUCGGCAGAGGGAAGCGGAAUUUCCGGUGUAGCGGUGAAAUGCGUAGAUAUCGGAAGGAACAUCAGUGGCGAAAGCGGCUUCCUGGUCCAGCACCGACGUCAGGCACGAAAGCGUGGGGAGCAAACAGG
rnacentral:rRNA from 1 species